UCCUCUUGCCAUUGGCUUCGCCGCAAGAUAAGUGGACGACCCCCUCUCCUCUUCUCCUCAUUUCACCAAUUAGCGUCGUGCGGAGGGACUGAGAGAAAUAGAGCGCCGGUGCCACCGUCGCUGCGCUUGGGUUUUGCCGUUAUUGCGACCUCGAAUCCAGCCAACAGAGUUCGCCGCAGCGCGUAGAGCAAGAUUAUAUCGGUGUUGGGCAUGGAGUAGUACCCAUUGGGUGUCAAUUCCUCGUCGGCGUCGAAGCAAAGCCCCAUCUGCAUGUUGCUUGAAUUCACCUCCACCCGGGAUUCCUGGUAUGGGCCUCUACUCGAUUCGUCGUUCAUCUAAGAAUCAAAUGGCGCUUCUCGCCUCGUGCUCUGUACCAGAAUAGCUGCGACCACCACGCUGAUUGGCGCCGUUGGCUGGGCCAUUAGGGGACAGGGCCCAUGCGUUAAAACCCGCGGUAGAAGUUUAGUGGUGGGAGUUCACCAUCUUUUCUUUGCCAUGAAUCGUCUCGCGGGGUGGGGAAAUUGGGAUCCAGGGUACCGGAACGGGAUCUCUGGCCAUGGCUCCGCCGUUUGCCGGUGUGCGCCGUCGCCGGUUCGGUUAGCUAUGAGGAUUUGGGGAGGGUUUUAUGCUGGCCCUUGAUCUAGAUUCAGGUGGCCACGGUUAGAUCUUAGGUUACCCCUUCGUUUUAAAUCGGGGCCAUGGAUCUGUGAUCAUAUGGUCGGGAGAGAGUUGUUGUCGCGGGAAAUCCUCGGCCAUCGAUCUUCGUGCGGGCGCUCGGUGUGAUAAACCAGUUCACGGAGAGGAAUAGAUUUAAUCUCGGCCGUCGAGUUUCGAUCGGACGACCAGGGUUCCAGGAUACCCCUUCGGCCAAUUCUUUUGCUAAAGACACCCUGAUCUUUCUCGAUAUAAAUCCACCGUCUACGUGCAGUGUAGAGUAAUUACAAUUGAACCAUGGAUUCUUACAAAUCAACCCCUGGCCUUUCACGUUUUUGUGCGCGCGGUCCAAAUAAAUUGCAGAUUUAAUAAAAUCAACUAGAAAAAGUUUUUUAGUAUAAAAAUAAUUCUAGAAAAUUAUUUAAUUCAUAACUAAUUCGUUUUAACUCCUUUUUAAUCUAUUCCAGUUGCAAUAAUUUUAUUUUAAUAUUGUUUAUCACCUAGUAACUCUGUUUUAUCAUGAAACAUAGAUUAAAUUUGUCCACUUAGUUUAUCCUGUAUCAACUACUUAAAAACUUCGAAAAAUCAUAACUUGUUAUCCAUAACUUCGAAUUUAGUGAUUCUUGAACCUACAAUCUCGUUACGAUGCAUAGAUUAUUAUCAUGCAUUAUGUUCUGAUGUUUGGUGUGAUGUUAAUUUAUGCUAUACCAUGUUUGUUUGUGUUGCUACGAGUAGUCGAGCAAGUGAUCGAGGACCCAGGUGCUCAGCAUGUGGAAAAUUUUGAGCAGGAGCUCGUUGAAGGAAAGUUAUGCCCUUGACCACUUUUAUUUACCCAAUAAUGUUCUCUAUAAUCAUUUUGGCAUGCUUAGGCUUAAUUUUGAUGGGACCCAAUAGGUCACACUAGUUUGGUUAUCUUUACACCUUGUUUACCCCUGAACUUUUGGAUAGUCUUUGCUAUUGCUAUAUGUGGUUUUGGGUGUUAAGAUAAUUAUUACACAUGGUCAUGAUUUAUUAUUGUUAUUCUAUUUUGUUCAUGAUAAGACUAUUAUGUUAAUAGGAACAUGGAGCUUAACUUGAGAAACACGUGCCACCACAAGGGUGGAAUGGGACGCCCUUUGCUGACUAAUUAGGAAAGCUAGUGGAGGUCUACCUUACCCGAAAGGGGCAAGGGAAGUAGGGGAGUUAUCGGUGUGGGGAGGUUCUCGGGUUGAUUUUGCUGCGAUGGCUUUUCAGACGGGGGAUUCCUGCAUUGCGCUCCCUAGAACUGUAGCGGGUUUUCUGAAGCUAGUGGAACUUUGUAAAGGCCUCGUAGUGUUACCCGGCCUCGCUUCCUGGUAGAGGUGUAUGGGAUUCAUGACCCCUUGGCAGAUGGGUAACAUGACUUGUGGGUAAAGGGUACAACCUCUACAGAGUGUAAAACUGGUAUACUAGUCGUGCUCGCGGUCAUUAGCAGCUCAGGACUCUUGCAUGAUUAAUUUAUGGAAUUAAAUUCAAUUUGUCAUUUGCAUCGCAUUAUGGUUUUAUUAUUAACUUUGAUCUAUUACUAGUUUGGUAUAUACUUACAUUUAGUAACUGCUAAUAAAAUCUGACCAACUUAUUAAAAGCAAUGCUCAGCUUUAACCCUUAUUUGUUGAUCAGCCUUACACUUCACAUGAGCUCCCACCUUUGGUGAGUUCAUGCACAUUAUUCCCCACAACUUGCUGAGAUAUGAUCUUUUGUGAGCUCACCCUUGCGACAUAUAAACCCCCCACAGGUGAAGAGCAGGUAGUCCAGGAGGAGGUCUACAACGAGGAGUACGAGAUUAUCUAGGUGGCGUCUUCCAGUCAGCUUUAUGGCGCCAAGGAAUAAUAUUUAGUUCGCUUUAUUGUUAUCAUUUAAUUUUGUAAGACACUACCGCUAUGUAAUAAUAUUUGUGAUAUUUAUCUCUGCACACUUGGUCAUUAUAUGUGUUGUUCUUCUUUGGCGCACAUAUGAGACGCACCCGGCUUUACCCCUUAAAUUCGAGUGUAACAGAAGUGGUACCCGAGAAAAUGUUGACUGUAGGACGAAACCUAGAUAGAACUGGUCAAAACCCUUACCUACUUACCUUACUCUGAUUCUUUCUAUACUUUUCUUGAUCAUGUCUCACCUUUGGUUGUUCCACUCUGACUAUUCUUAUCUUUUCUACUCUAGAAAGACAAGAAGGAUUUCACACCUUGGAAUCCUACAUAUAAGACCCUCUAAAGAGAUAGGGGACCUAAAAAAUAUAUAUUUUCUCUAUCUAAAAUGUUUGGAUGUUUGUUCUGAUGAUAAAUGCUUGAUUUGAUUCUUUGAUUGAUUGAAAUAGUAUAGCAGAGCAUUCUAGCAUGUACCACCAUAAGGUAAUAUAUUAGUAUUAGUAGGUGACACACUAAUCUACUGAACUAAUAAAACCCCCAAAAGAUCAUGUUUCGUAAUUACUUGUCUUACCUACAAUUCUAUCUUACCAUAUGUUUCUAACUGUGAUACCCGGUUUGCAAAGAAGUGAAGUUGGGGGUUAUUCUUUUUUUUUGUUUUUUUCUCAUUCGGGUGAUGCGCUUUGGGGAUUUGGAAUUUGUGGAAAACAUUCACUAGUAAGACAGUAUAAUUUCUUUGGUUAGACGCUUGCGACGGGGUCGGGAGCUGUCGCGUGGGCGAGUUGGGCCAUGAAUCUUGAUCCGGCCCAUUAGCCUCCCCUUAACCCUAGCCGCCCUCCCCCUAAUCCCCCCUUGUGCAGCCCCCCCACAUUUCCCCUAGCCCUUGGCCGCCCCCCUCCCAUCUCCUCCUCCCUCAAACUCUUGCAGCCACACCACCUAACCCUAGCCGCCCCCCAUCUCCUCCUCCUAAAGGUGCCAUUCCUUGCCGCUUGGAUCUUCGUCGCGUGGUGCAAGUCUCCAAUUGGUUUUGGUGGAGGGAAGAAGGGAGGAAGGAAAGGGGGAGAAUCCAAAGUGAUUUUGUGUUUAUUUCUUAUUUAUUUGUGCUGCAAUUCAAUUGAAUAGAUGUUGCGUAUGCGAAUUGGUAGAGGUGCUGUCCAGAAGUUUAGAGGGUGGGCGAACAACAGUAGUUCUACCAGUUUCUAGGAAAUUUUUCGUGGGUAAUUAGUGAUAAACAGUAUGAGAAUCAUGUAGAGCUUUGUCAUACCUUUCCAACGAGUACUUAUGCGCUCAAUUCGGAGUUAUAAAUUAGGAGAUAUCGCCGUUUGAACCCGGGUAUGUGGCUGUCCAAAGAAACAGAUUUCUGCAGGUGGGCGUACAGAAGUAGUAUUAGCAGUUUCUGGGGAUUUUUCGUGGGUAAUUAGUGAUAAACAGUAUGAGAAUUAUGUAGAUCAUUGUCAUACCUUUUCAACAAGUACUUAUGCGCUCAAUUCGGAAUUAUAAAUUAGGAGAUAUCGCUGUUUGAAUCCGGGUAUGUUGCUGUCCAAAAAAAAACAGAUUACAGAGUUUAUCUUGUGGACUAUUUUGGGCUAAUUAGAUGUUGGAAUUUAAUUAUAAACUGUAUACAAAACUUGUGGGGAAUUUUAUGUAGAUGCCUCUAGAGUUUUUGUUUGUUACCACUGCUGUCAUAAUUUUAAAGUUAUGAAAUUGUUAAGCAGCGCCGCUGCAGUUUGGUGGGUGUGGGGAGAGUUGUUACCCACGGCGGGGUUUGAGAUUGUGCGUAGGUGUGGCAUUGUUUAUGAGCGUUAUUAUGUGAAAUGGGUGCACUAAGUUGUGUGUCAAAAACAGGUGGUGGACUUCUGGAUCGUACUUAG
rnacentral:lncRNA from 1 species